AGAGCGGCUCUGACCAGCCUCUCAAACAGCAGCAGGAUUACAGAGACCGAACGAAGAUGAAUGAAGACCUGCUGAAAACUGGAGACCUCAGUCUGACCCUGAGACUCCCCACAGAGAGAGACAGUGGGAGAUACAGAUGUAGAGUCGUCAGCAGGAACAUUAGGAGAUGGAAAAACGUGCAGCUCAAAGUCAGAGGCAGAGCUCAGGUCCAGGAUCAAACAGGGAUCAUCAGGAACAGAAGCAGCUCCAUUGAUCCGACUCCUCUGAUGGCUGAUCAAUCAGUUUGAUCUGUUUGUUCUUUGAUUAUUGAUCAGUGAUGUCAGAGUGGAGUCAGUGUGAUGUUGUUGUUGUGUGUUUGAGCCUUUUAGUGUCCGUGAAGGUCUCUGCUGCCGUAGAUCCUCUGAACUGUGACAGAGGUCUCACUCUGGAGGAAACUCUCAGCACUUUCCAGCAGCUCCUCCAUCAUGGAGGACGUUCCCUCACUGGAACAGGUGGAGGAGAGAGGAGAGGAAGCACAGGUGGAUGCUCUGAGGAAGAGGAGCGUUCUCACAUUGGUCUUCCUACAACAACACCUUGAUCACAUGAGCAGAGGGGCGUGGCCUUCAGUGGUCCUAACACGCCGUCGUAGUAAUAAAGGAACCCUCCACAUGUUCCACUUUGAAGGCUCAUCUCCAACAAAGCAGACCUGUGAUCACUUUAACUCACUAUGAUGAUUGUUGACAUUUGUCUUUGUGUCUCUGGCUUUUCUUGUGUGUCUGUGUGUGUGUUGGGAUGUUGGAUAGAGUCAUGUGACCUGCCCAGGGACUACAGAUGGAAAUGAGCAGUUUAGCUCCAAUCUGGCAGCUUUCCAUCUUCUAUGUUUAUAUUGAUGUCCAUGAACAUGCACUGUCCCUGUGAGAUCAAUGCAGAUAAAAACAGCUGCUGACCUUU